rnacentral:lncRNA from 1 species
CCCGCUCCGCUCCGCUCCGCGCCCGGGCUGCGCUCUGCCCCGCACCGCUCCGCGGGCGGCACCGGGGCGUCCCUCGGGCUCCGCUCCGUCUGCCGGAGACGUUUCCCAUUUCUCCUCACAAAAACCCAUUUUUCCGUUCUGCUCCCCCGAACGCCCAUACUUAUUGCACAGAAUUCAUAUAUUGAACAGAAAAGCCCUCCGCGAGUUUUCUUUGUUUAAUUGUCCCCGAGGUGCGCAGCCCGCACUGCACAUAACGGCCACGGGAGAUCCGUGCGGGGCGGCGCGGGGGGAGCGGCGGCAUUUGGGGUUCGGGCCGGGUGGGAAACAGCACCGCUGCGGCACUGCGUGGGGAUCACCGCGGUUCUGUGGUUAGCGGGUCUCGCGGGGGCGUUUGAGCCGCAAAUCGUUUCAGACGGAGCUAAAAGGAGAGAGCAGCGAGGAGCGAGCUGCAGUCCCUGCUCCGAGGCUGCCGGGCGCUCCCUCUGCCUGGCGCUGGGGGCUUCGGGCGCCUCUCCCCCCGCAGGAGGGAGGAAUGGGGGUCCCGGCACCGCUCGGGGAGCAGCCCCGGGGGAGCAGCCCGUCCUGACCGCUCGGCUGCAGGAGGUGCAGAUGGAGGAGAGACACUGCCUUAUCUGCACAGAGCAGGCUCAGGGGUUGGGGCUGGGAUUUCUGAUUAACAAAGUGAGGGGAACAGAGCUCCUCAUGCUUAAAAAUCGUUUGAGGAAGGCAGGAAAGGCUGAGCUUGAGCAGGCUGUGCUUCUGCAGCCCUCGGUGCCAGCCCCUCUCCGAGCUGCGGAGCACCAUGGCAGUGCAAUUACCCGGGGCAGGAGGAGCUGCUCCCCCGGGCCAGGCCCCCGCACCUCAAAGCGUUUCAUUCCUACGGCUUUCGGUGAGCUGUGCGCUUCCUCAAACAGCACUGCAAACCACGUCUGAAACUGAAAUACAGCCAUAAGAAGAAAGGGACUGAAAGCAAUCCCUGCACGCUCAGCCUCACCCCGCUGCGCAGCACUCAGCCCACGCAGGUGCUGAGGUGGGUGCAGUGCCCCAGUCCCUGCACGCAUCCCUUCCUCGUGGCACAAAACUCCACGCACACCAAGAGCUGCCGCUGAGCAUCUCAGCACUGCAAGGAGAAGGCCGGGGGGAGCAACUUAACCCUGCCAAAACCCUCCUCGGCCACAUCUGCUGAAGAAGGGGGACCCCCUCCCAGACCCACACGUGUGUACUUAGCAAAGCAAUGGCCGCAGUCCGACGCGCUCCCCUCACCCGCAGCCAUCGUCCCCAGCUCCGGGCACUCCCCGCCCCGUCCUCCCGCAGCACUGACAGCAUAAUGAAGAGUGGCACGGUGCGACUAUAAAAAGGCAAUUAGACAAACUGCUGGAUGGGGACCAGCUCUCGUGACCUACUUAAUAGCUCGGGGACUUUCGGGAGGAUAGGGAAGGAAAUGCAGUGGUGGCUGUGGGGUGGCGGGGAGGGAGAGAAGAUGAUGCAGCACAGCGCCCUGAGCCCCCAGAGCAGCCCCGUGGCACAGAGAGAACAGCUCUGCCCCACGUUGCUCUCUCCUGACCCCGCCAUCAGCACUCAGGGCACAACACAGAAUGCCGUGGGUAGGAGCAGCACUCGCUUCCAGUGAUGUUCAUUUCAUUUUUGGGAUCCCAAUGGCAUCCAUUCACAUGGUGGGUUUCAACUCACAGGCAUCUGUAGGUAGAAUUACAGCUGCUCCGGGGUAAGAUGAGCACAAAAUAAAAUCCCAAAAUAGCAUCUCCAGGAGAUGGCCCACAAUGGAUGUCUCCUCAUCUCAUCGUGUGGUUUUUUACUGAACACAAAAUGGCUGCCUAAAUUGGAGAGAUGUCAAACAAAGAGAUGAGGGGCCGGGAUACGGGCAUUGCCAGUGAGCACGGCUUGGGACCGUGCCCAGGGGAAAAUUCACCUGAACAAUCCAUAAAAACAUAUUAAAGGCUUCUUUAGCCCUUACUUAGCAAGACUCCAACCUCACUACUUACGAAAUAGCCUUCUGGUCUGUGCUGUGGGAGGUGGCUGUGCAGGGAUUUCUGUGAUUUGCCCUUCCCAGCCCAGCCCCGACCAGCAGUCACAUCUGCAGAUCAAACAUUCGCUAUCGUUUGACCACAACGCAUCCUCAACAAUGCUUCCAAUUAAUUGGAAUUAAAUUUAGCCUAGGGUUUGCCUUUAUUGCUGUCAUAAAAAUGAAGUGAAAGUCGUUGGUUACCUGCAAAGCUGAAUUCCCACUUCAAAAACUGUAUUGUUCCCAUGAGCUUAACUGCAUUUCCAUUGGUAAAAUAGAUAAACUUCAUCACUGUCAAAUUCAAUGCAUGUGUGUGGGAGCUGAAGGGCUCCAUAGGAAACGAUUAGGAACCAGGAAAAGCAUCCCUCAUACAUGCCAAGACUUUCAUUUCAAUUUUCGUGUACAAAGCACUCCUCUCCUACAGCUGUAGAGUCAGAGCUGUUUUCCAGAAGGAAUGAACACAUUCCCUGCUCCCACAUCAGCUGUUUUCCUCCGGCAUGAAGUUAAGCUCUCCUGGGGAUUUUAUUUUCUGGUCAUUUUACACAAAACAGGGCUCAGUCACAUGCACAGCGUAUGCUUUAUUUUCUUUAUUUUUUAAUUCAUAUUAUUUUAAAGCAGUGCAGCUGAG